UACACUCCUGCGGGAGGCAGCAGUGGGGAAUAUUGCACAAUGGGCGCAAGCCUGAUGCAGCCAUGCCGCGUGUAUGAAGAAGGCCUUCGGGUUGUAAAGUACUUUCAGCGGGGAGGAAGGCAAUACGGUUAAUAACCGUGUUGAUUGACGUUACCCGCAGAAGAAGCACCGGCUAACUCCGUGCCAGCAGCCGCGGUAAUACGGAGGGUGCAAGCGUUAAUCGGAAUUACUGGGCGUAAAGCGCACGCAGGCGGUCUGUCAAGUCGGAUGUGAAAUCCCCGGGCUCAACCUGGGAACUGCAUUCGAAACUGGCAGGCUUGAGUCUUGUAGAGGGGGGUAGAAUUCCAGGUGUAGCGGUGAAAUGCGUAGAGAUCUGGAGGAAUACCGGUGGCGAAGGCGGCCCCCUGGACAAAGACUGACGCUCAGGUGCGAAAGCGUGGGGAGCAAACAGGAUUAGAUACCCCUGUAGUCCC
rnacentral:rRNA from 1 species